UUUUAAAGUAUUAUUUUGUUUAAUUAUUAUUUUUUUUGUUUAAUUAAAUUAAUUUUUAUUAGUAUUGUUUAAGUAUUUUUUAGAAUUAAUUAAUAUAAUUAUAGUUUAUUAGUAAUGUAAAUGAAUUUAUUGGGUUUUGAUUAAUUAAUAAGUACUUUUUUAGGGUACCUUUUGUAUCAGGGUUGAUAAAUAUUAUUUUGUUGAUUAUAUUUUUCUCGAUUUAGGUUGAUUUACAAUCAAAUUAUUUUUAUCGUAUCAUAGAUAUUUUGAAUUUGAUUUUAGAAGUGAAAUGUUAAUCGUUUCCUAAUAUAUCUAGUUCCUCAAGAAAAAAAUUCAAUUUUAUAAGGUUUAUUGGUUAUUUAUUAAUUUUAAUUUUUAAUUAAUUUCCUAUUAAUACUUUAGGGGAUAAGCUCUUUAGUAACUUUAUUCUAUAAUUUUAUUAUUUUUAUUUAAAAGUAGGCUUUAAACUGGCCAUCUUUUUGGAUUACGUUUUAGUUCAUUUUAUUUUUUAUGAUUUUAUAAAUUAUUUAGGUUUGUUAUUGAGGUAAUUAAAUAGAUUUUGAAUUUAUUGUAAUAAUGAUUGAAUUAGUAUAUUUAAUUGUAUAGAAUUUUUUAUGAUUUUAAUUUGAUUUAAGGAAUUAGGCAAAAUUACUCUUCGCCUGUUUAUCAAAAACAUGUCUUUUUGAUUAUAAUUUAAGGUCUGACCUGCUCACUGAAUAAUUUUAAAGAGCCGCGGUAUUAUGACCGUGCAAAAGGUAGCAUAAUCAUUAGCCUUUUAAUUGGAGGAUAGAAUGAAAGGUUUGAUGUGAAAUUUAUUUUCUUAGGAUAAAAAAUAGAAAUUUAUAUUUUAGUUAAAAAGCUAAAAUGAAUAUAAGGGACGAGAAGACCCUAUAGAUUUUUAUUGAUUUUAUUAUUAAAGAUUAAGAUAAAAUAUUUUAAUAGUAAUAUUAAUUUAGUUGGGGUGACGGAAAGAAUAAUAAAACUCUUUUUUAACCUAACUUGAAUAAGAGGAUUAUUGAUCCAAUAAAGUGUUGAUUAUAAGAAUAAAAUACCUUAGGGAUAACAGCGUAAUUAUUUUUUGGAGUACGAAUCUACAAAAUAGAUUGCGACCUCGAUGUUGAAUUAAGAUAAAUUAUUGAUGUAGCAGUUAAUAUUUGUGGUCUGUUCGACCUUAUAUAUCUUACAUGAUUUGAGUUCAGACCGGCGUGAGCCAGGUCGGUUUCUAUCUUUAUAGAGUGAAUUAUUUCUUAGUACGAAAGGACCAGUUAUGAGAAUAAAAUUUUUAAAAAGAUUAAGGUUAAAU
rnacentral:rRNA from 1 species